rnacentral:rRNA from 1 species
UUGCGCCAAGGCUUGGCAUUUAGAGGACAUGAUGAAAGUGAAGACUCGCUAAAUAAAGGAAAUUUCCUUGAGCUUCUAAAUUGGCUAGCAGGAAAUUUUGAAGAGGUUGAUAGGGUUGUUCUCAAGAAUGCUCCACAGAACUGCAAGAUGACUCACCAUGAUAUACAACAAGAGGUGAUAAAAUGUUGUGCACAAGAGACUACUAAACUAGUCAUUGAAGAACUUGAUGGUGGUCAUUUUGCAAUACCUGCAGAUGAGUCUAGUGAUGUGUAUCAGAAUGAACAGUUGGCUGUUUGCUUGCGUUUUGUUGAUAAGAAAGGAAGGGCAGUUGUAAGAUUUCUUGGUCUUGCUCAUGUUGAAGAUACUACCUCUUUGACACUAAAAGCUGCAAUUCAGAAAAUGCUUAUGGAC